CCUACGGGAGCCUGCAGUGGGGAAUAUUGGACAAUGGGGGCAACCCUGAUCCAGCCAUGCCGCGUGUGUGAAGAAGGCCCUCGGGUUGUAAAGCACUUUCAGUGAGGAAGAACGCCUGGUGGUUAAUACCCAUCAGGAAAGACAUCACUCACAGAAGAAGCACCGGCUAACUCCGUGCCAGCAGCCGCGGUAAUACGGAGGGUGCGAGCGUUAAUCGGAAUUACUGGGCGUAAAGCGCGCGUAGGUGGCUUGAUAAGCCGGUUGUGAAAGCCCCGGGCUCAACCUGGGAACGGCAUCCGGAACUGUCAAGCUAGAGUGCAGGAGAGGAAGGUAGAAUUCCCGGUGUAGCGGUGAAAUGCGUAGAGAUCGGGAGGAAUACCAGUGGCGAAGGCGGCCUUCUGGACUGACACUGACACUGAGGUGCGAAAGCGUGGGUAGCAAACAGGAUUAGAUACCCUGGUAGUC
rnacentral:rRNA from 1 species